rnacentral:rRNA from 1 species
GAUGAACGCUGGCGGCGUGCCUAAUACAUGCAAGUCGAGCGAACAGAUGAGGAGCUUGCUCCUCUGACGUUAGCGGCGGACGGGUGAGUAACACGUGGAUAACCUACCUAUAAGACUGGGAUAACUUCGGGAAACCGGAGCUAAUACCGGAUAAUAUAUUGAACCGCAUGGUUCAAUAGUGAAAGACGGUUUUGCUGUCACGUAUAGAUGGAUCCGCGCCGCAUUAGCUAGUUGGUAAGGUAACGGCUUACCAAGGCAACGAGGCGUAGCCGACCUGAGAGGGUGAUCGGCCACACUGGAACUGAGACACGGUCCAGACUCCUACGGGAGGAAGCAGUAGGGAAUCUUCCGCAAUGGGCGAAAGCCUGACGGAGCAACGCCGCGUGAGUGAUGAAGGUCUUCGGAUCGUAAAACUCUGUUAUUAGGGAAGAACAAAUGUGUAAGUAACUAUGCACGUCUUGACGGUACCUAAUCAGAAAGCCACGGCUAACUACGUG